UCAGGAUGAACGCCGGCGGUGUGCCUAAUACAUGCAAGUCGAACGCGUUGGCCCAACUGAUUGACGGUGCUUGCACUUGAUUGACGUUGGUUUACCAACGAGUGGCGGACGGGUGAGUAACACGUAGGCAACCUGCCCCGAAGCGGGGGACAACAUCUGGAAACAGGUGCUAAUACCGCAUAACAACUUUGACCGCCUGGUCAAAGUUUAAAAGAUGGUUUCGGCUAUCACUUCGGGAUGGGCCUGCGGCGCAUUAGCUUGUUGGUGGGGUAACGGCCUACCAAGGCGAUGAUGCGUAGCCGAGUUGAGAGACUGAUCGGCCACAAUGGGACUGAGACACGGCCCAUACUCCUACGGGAGGCAGCAGUAGGGAAUCUUCCACAAUGGGCGCAAGCCUGAUGGAGCAACACCGCGUGAGUGAAGAAGGGUUUCGGCUCGUAAAGCUCUGUUGUUGAAGAAGAACG
rnacentral:rRNA from 1 species